AAAAAAAAAAAAAACCUAUGCAGACAGCACACUUCUUCAAUAUUAAACAAUAUUUCUAGUUUUAUCAAUUGUGGUCAUAAAUUUUGACAUAAAAAUAAAUGGGGCCUAUUUAGUCAUGGAACUCACAGAAGCUAAAUUUGCCAAAAAGAAAGUGUUCUUUUUUCUCUUUUGCAAUACUGGUAAACACAAAAUAUUAACUUUCCCAAAAAAACAUUGAUACAGUAUUUUAUUUUUUCGUGGUUGACAAAUAAAGAUUAGUAAUUUUUAAAAGGUAAAAGGUUUCUAAAGAAUAAGAAUUUGCAGUAUGAACAUUGCAAAAGUAAAAAAAAAAUACUUUUUCGCCAAUAGAGAUUAUUAUGUAGACUUAUCACAAACAGAAAGAGAGAAAACUAUAAUGGGAAAUGGGAAGCAGAGGACUUGACUAAGCAGAAUAGGGGGACAAAAUAAACACAAAUUUAGCAUAAUAGAUCAACAAGACUUCCUCAGAGCAGAGAUCUAAUCAAUCUACUUUUCAGAGUAUUUCAAUGCAGAUACCAUCUUCGCGGAACAAAUGCAAACAAAUGAUGCAGGAUAGGCAAAUAUGGAUGGUGAAAACCAAAAAGGUUUCCUAAAUGAAGGAUAUAAGCCUGGAAAUCACUCAAUUAAAGGCUACAGAAUCACUACAUAUAGCUAACCUUGAGAGGAAAAUUUUAUAUCUAAUUCAGUUUUCUUUAGCUCUCACUUUCAUUGACAUUUCUAUAUUUAUUAUAAACAACCUUGAUGAAGGUUCAAACAUACUAAUUAAAGUUAAAAUGAUUAACAAAAUUGGAACUCACAGUGAACUUGAUGCUAAAAUACAAGGGCAUUCAUUAGUUCAAGCUAAAAAGCAUAAUUUCAACCUCUUGUAAUUAGGAGACAACUUCAAAAAUAGCUAAGCAACUAAAAUAUCAGUAAGGUUUCCAGAAAUGAGCACGAAGCAAGGAAAUCCAACAUUUAAAUACAAUAUGCAUCAACAUUAAGUUAUGAAUAAGGAGAGCACAUUGUUCAAAAUACUGUUAUCAAAUAGUUGAAUCAGUAAUGGACAUCAAAAAUCAGCAAAUAAU
rnacentral:misc_RNA from 1 species